rnacentral:rRNA from 1 species
UACGUAGGGUGCAAGCGUUAAUCGGAAUUACUGGGCGUAAAGCGUGCGCAGGCGGUGGCUCAAGCCAGGCGUGAAAUCCCCGGGCUCAACCCGGGAACUGCGUCCGAUACUGGCAGGCUUGAAUCCGGGAGAGGGAUGCGGAAUUCCAGGUGUAGCGGUGAAAUGCGCAGAUAUCAGGAGGAACACCGGUGGCGAAGGCGGGUCUCUGGGCAGUAACUGACGCUGAGGAGCGAAAGCGUGGGGAGCGAACAGG